CAUACUUGAAUUAAAUAUAUUUAUUACAAUUUUAGGUACACAAAACACAGCAGACAUUCCAAAGGUAAGAACCUCUAGCUAUGGCAGCAGUACCUUGUUUCACAGCGACCAAUUUUUGUUGGAACUCCCUGCCACAACAUUUUAGGAAAGAAACCAAUUUCAGUUCAGAGUUUGAUCAAUACCUGGAGCAGAGAGGGCUGCACAUGCACUGCCUGUUCUAGCUACUGAUUUGCUGCUUUAUGCUAUUUUGCUUGUUUUCUGUGUGCUUGGUUGCUCUAUGCUCUAAUGCUUUCUUUUAUAUGUGCUUAUUUCAUAAUUAUGCUUAUUUCUUUUUUUCUUGUUUUAUAUGUGUGUGCAUAUAUAUGCAUUGCUUUCAUGUGUGCUUUUGUAUUGCCUGAAGGUUACAAGCUGCUUCCAGAAAUUAUCUUUUAUUUUAUGUCUUUUUGUGUUGCUUUAACAUGUUGUCAUAUUGCAAGUUAAUUUAUUCAUGUCUAAACCAGUGUUUUAGUUGCUUUCUGUUUUUGUUGUUAUUUAUAACUUCAGGUUUAAUUUUGAUGAAUGUGAGCAUGUAAUAGUGGAGUUGUGUCUAACAGUCAGCUUGAAUUAAUUACAUGUACUCCCAAAUAAGAAGUGGCUAUGUAAAGGACACUGAUAUAAAGACAUUGCUGGAUGUAUUUCCUGGUGGCAACUUCAGACCAACAGAAGUGUUUGGGGUAGCAGUAUUUACCACUAUUGACCUGGAAACUACUAACCUAAGAGACAUCUUUGUUUUUUCUCCGACAUCAGAUGUGAAAGCUGCCAGUUGAAAAGUUGACACAGUCCCUGCAGAGUUACAGACAGCUAUAUGGAAUCUGAAAG